CCUCCCCGAGCCCCGCUGCCUCCCGCCUCCCUCCUCCCCGGCGCCCGCCUCCCCGCGGCGUGCCCGCCUCCCUCCCUCCGUCCCCCGGCCGGCAGCCGGGCAGCGGGCGGGCGCUGCCGCCGGCCCCACAGCACCGCGGCCGGGCUGCGCGGAGCGGAGCGGAGCGGAGCGGGGCUGGCUGGGCGGGGAGGGAGGGAGGGAGGGGAGUGGAUGUGUGUGUGUGUGGAAAGAGCGGGGGGGGGCGAAGGGGGGGAAAUCAAAUAAAUAAAUAAGCUCCCCACCAAUAAGAGAGGCAGCGGCUGGCGAGCAGGCUGGGCUCGGCUGGGAGAGGUCCUCGCUCGGCUGCGUGUUUGUUUGUGUUGUGACCAGAGCCGCGAAGUUCAGAGCCCAAACGUGUUGCUCCGCUCCGCUCCACCUGCUCGGCCGGCGGGGGGGUGCCGCUUCGGCCGCCCCGCCGCCCUCCGGGGCCGAAGGACGGGAGAGGAGCGCGGGGCCGCGCCCGCCGCCCGCCCGCCUUCCCCUCAGCCACCGCCGGGGAGGCGACGGACAGGUGUAUCUCCAGAAAAACAAAAAAUUAAUGACAGGAUCAGAAUACACUCUGGAUUUUCUUCCCAUGUGCAGACUACACCUGAAGUGUUGAAUUCACAUACAGCAACACCUUCCUAAUGGAAGAACCAAUGCAGCCUUUUUCUUUCAACCACUUAGAGCUUCUGUGAUCCCAAACAUGGUAAUUGAGAUCAGAGAUGACUGCAUCUGAAAUUAAAUUGCAUCCCUUCUUCUGAGGUCACCCUAUAUGGUCCUGUAUGUUCCAACACGAUGCUCUGAAAAUCACUGGAAAGCAGAAUUUUACUGGUGUCCUUAAUUGUAUGACUACAAAUCACAGGAUAUACAAAGUACUGAAUUAGAAGUCAAAAUUUGCUUUAGUCUUAUUUUUUUUUUAAUGUGUGUUUUUAAAGCACAAAGACUGUAUUUAAAAAUAAGAGAACCAUAUAAAAAUUCUUGAAGUGGAAUAAAUCUGCAUUCAGAUGAUGGAUUUAAGUGUGU
rnacentral:lncRNA from 1 species